UGGGGAAUAUUGGACAAUGGGCGAAAGCCUGAUCCAGCCAUGCCGCGUGUGUGAAGAAGGUCUUCGGAUUGUAAAGCACUUUAAGUUGGGAGGAAGGGCAGUAAGCUAAUACCUUGCUGUUUUGACGUUACCGACAGAAUAAGCACCGGCUAACUCUGUGCCAGCAGCCGCGGUAAUACAGAGGGUGCAAGCGUUAAUCGGAAUUACUGGGCGUAAAGCGCGCGUAGGUGGUUCGUUAAGUUGGAUGUGAAAUCCCCGGGCUCAACCUGGGAACUGCAUCCAAAACUGGCGAGCUAGAGGAUGGUAGAGGGUGGUGGAAUUUCCUGUGUAGCGGUGAAAUGCGUAGAUAUAGGAAGGAACACCAGUGGCGAAGGCGACCACCUGGACUGAUACUGACACUGAGGUGCGAAAGCGUGGGGAGCAAACAGG
rnacentral:rRNA from 1 species